CUUUGCUUCAUUACCGUAACUCCUGCCUGCUUCUCCAAACUGUGGUCGUACUGACCGUCAUCUCCUGCAGACUCUUUUGGAGUCAUGAAGACAACCAGUGAGCAGCAGCACAAGCUCCAUGGCGACAGCUGUAUAAGGGUAAUGUUUCCUCAUCAACAUUCUCCACCCAAAGAUUCCAGCCAGCCUGACGAUGUGAAGCAGCAAUGCCCCGGUAACGACCCUGCUUGGGUAACAGACAACUGCAGAUGCAAUUACUGUUUCCUUUUAUUUUUGUCUUAUUACUUUUCUUCCAU
rnacentral:lncRNA from 1 species